AGAUUACUGACCCUUCAUAGACUGGCAGCUCUUUAAAUUAAGAUGACUCCUAAGAGAAAAGGAUGGAACGUGGCAAAGUUCACGAGAAGGAGCAAACAGUAUUUGAAGACCUCUUUGAAAAGUCUCCCCAGGAGCAGGAAGAUAGGCGCCCGCUGUACCAGUCAAAGACACCACCCUACUGUGAUGUUAAUAAGAUGAAGGGUACUAGUACAAAAAGCCACAGUAAUUAUAGGAAGAGAACUCCAUCCCAUUGCCUUCCUGAGAUGCUGGACCACUGUGGGCAGCUGCCCUUGGAAGAAGCAUGCCACUGUCUCCUUCAAACCCCUCAAAGUCUCAGCUUCUCUCAUACUUUUGGAAAUUCUCAAGAUUGAAUAGAGUGAGGUUCUUCUUCAGUAUCAUUAGUUCUUUCUACACCACAGAAGAAAUUCUAAUCUGAACAUAAACAUAUUUUGGAUUAAUAAAUUCUUCUAAAAGUA